CUAGUAAUCGCAGAUCAGCAUGCUGUGGUGAAUACGUUCCCGGGCCUUGUACACACCGCCCGUCACACCAUGGGAGUCGGUAACACCCAAAGUUGGUAGUCUAACCGCAAGGAGGACGCCGCCUAAGGUGGGAUUGAUGACUGGGGUGAAGUCGUAACAAGGUACC
rnacentral:rRNA from 1 species